UGAGGAAUAUUGGUCAAUGGACGGAAGUCUGAACCAGCCAAGUAGCGUGCAGGAUGACGGCCCUAUGGGUUGUAAACUGCUUUUGUAUGGGGAUAAAGUUAGGGACGUGUCCCUAUUUGCAGGUACCAUACGAAUAAGGACUGGCUAAUUCCGUGCCAGCAGCCGCGGUAAUACGGAAGGUUCAGGCGUUAUCCGGAUUUAUUGGGUUUAAAGGGAGCGUAGGCUGGAGAUUAAGUGUGUUGUGAAAUGUAGACGCUCAACGUCUGAAUUGCAGCGCAUACUGGUUUCCUUGAGUACGCAGAACGUUGGCGGAAUUCGUCGUGUAGCGGUGAAAUGCUUAGAUAUGACGAAGAACUCCGAUUGCGAAGGCAGCUGACGGGAGCGCAACUGACGCUUAAGCUCGAAGGUGCGGGUAUCAAACAGG
rnacentral:rRNA from 1 species